AUGCACGCCGGCGCGGGUGGUCGUGGUGGAGGCGGCCGCCGCCUUCGUCCUCCGACUCCUCCUAACACGUGCACUCGCCGCGGGGUAGCGGUGGAGCCAUGCUCCUUGCGCUCGCGCACCCGUACUCGCACUCGGCAGCGGGGCCAUCCUUGCGGAGCACCCGCCGACGGUGACGCUCUUCGGGCACCCCCGCAGCCGGCUGAGCCUGGCCAUCCAUGA
rnacentral:rRNA from 1 species